UAAGGCAAGAGAAAGCAUUUUUGGAGUUGGC
rnacentral:piRNA from 1 species